rnacentral:rRNA from 1 species
UACGUAGGGUGCGAGCGUUGUCCGGAAUUAUUGGGCGUAAAGAGCUCGUAGGCGGUCUGUUACGUCGGCUGUGAAAACCCGCGGCUCAACCUCGGGCCUGCAGUCGAUACGGGCAGACUAGAGUUCGGUAGGGGAGACUGGAAUUCCUGGUGUAGCGGUGAAAUGCGCAGAUAUCAGGAGGAACACCGGUGGCGAAGGCGGGUCUCUGGGCCGAAACUGACGCUGAGGAGCGAAAGCGUGGGGAGCGAACAGG